CCCCGCGCCGCCCCGCGCCCGCGCUCGUCGCGCUCGGCGUCCCCGCGCUCGCACGACGCCGCGCUCUAUGGGAGGCCGCUCUCUUUACCAGGUGAAACCCACCUCCGAAAUGCCUUAUGCAAGAAGCAGAGCUCUCAAAGUGAAAGGUUCUCUUUGCUCCAACACCCUAAACCUCUGAGGAGACCACACUCCAACCGCAGAGAUGACGAUAGUGUUCAACUUGUGCAAGACAACGACAAGUAAUCCUGCGCUGUGCACUGAAUUCUGUGCUGUGCAUCGGAUUCUGUGCAUUCGGGUGUGCUAACUAUGUGCGUAUCGAUUUUAUGAUGGCCAAUUGUGCACUGAUAUGUGCUAGAUAGAUGUGUGUUUUUUUUUGUUAUAGAUGGGAAUUUGUGCUGUGCACAUUUUUUUUUUUUGGUAUUGAUAUUGUCGGAUUGUGUCCAAAAUGUUGAAGUGAUUAGCUGUGCGAUAAAUUCUGUGCUGGCAAUUAUCUGGGCACAUUAUGUAAUUAUUGUGCCGAGUAACUACAUAUGAAUGAAGGCAUAAAUUUUUUGAAUCGUGAAAAAUUUUCAAAGUUGGCAUAGGUAUCAGUUGAGAUGUAAUUAUGAAUUAGGUAGGAGAUGAAAAAAAUAUAGAAGAAACAUUUAAAUUAAAGAUCAUUCCAAAGAAUUUUUAUAAGUUAUAUAAUUAAUAUAUUUUUUGUUAUAUACUUUAUCGAUAUUGAUAUUUUAAAAAUAAUUAACUUGCACAUUCCAAUCGGUCGAAUUGCACGUCAGAUGAUUAAUUUGUUUUAUUUUGUCAUAUUGUCCUUAUUUUUAUUAUUAUACAUUCCUAUGUAUAUUUCCAUUUUAUUUUGUUUUCAAAUGUACGAAAAUUGUUUGGAGAUGGUAAUUCAGAAGCUGAAUUGAAUUUUCGAACGAAGUGAUAACGUUUCAUAAAAACGUUUUCAUUAUAUGUGCGUGUUUAAGACGCGAAGUAUCACAAUUUAAUCUAUAAAAUAUUCCGUGUGUGUUAUCAAUAUAGAAUUAGUCAUGUUUGACCAAAUAUAAAAAAUAAAUCAUAAAAUGCUCACCGUAGUACCUAUUGUUGCAAUUACCAAAUAUAAUUAGUAAUCAAUAAACAAAGAAUUUAAUCUUGUUUUGUCCAACAUUUAUUGAGAUUUGCGUGAAAAUAAUUAUAGUUAAAAACUUAAGAAUUACAUAGUUUAGAUUGUUACCAAAUAGGCUUUAUUAGGCGCCUCAUAGGAGUUAGUGUUAAUGCUAUAUAAAUUAAAAGUAAGAAAAUAAUAUUUUGCUAGAGAAUGGCAGCUGGCAUUGCAAAUUAGUGGUAAGAUUUAAGGCUAAACCUAUAUAUAUAUAUUGUUGAUUUUGACCUCUUUAAAAUUUAAUCAUGAGGUAAGGAAUUGACAUUACUACACGAAUGAUUAAAAAAUGUGUCUUUAGAUUAACCCAGAUUUUUACCUGUGUCACAUAAUUUACUGUGACACAGGUAGCGGUGUCAGUAUACAAAAAAAAAAAAA
rnacentral:lncRNA from 1 species